UCCAGUUGCACGAUCGAUCGGCGUACUAGUCUAGGACUUACAAAAGCCUGGAUGGCCACAUUUUUACCUGGAAGGCCUAUGCUGAACUUCCACUCUUUUGGACCACAGAUUCAUCAAGUUAGUGGCCACAUAGAGCUGUUCUGGAUGUCAUGGGGAACUACAGCAGAAGAUGCUUUUCAUCCAUCCAGACCCCUACAGCACUGUUGCAGGUGAUUAGCUUCUGUGGCAGGCUAGUGCCCUUGAGCCUCUUAGAAACACCACAUUAAACGAUGGCUGAACUCUUGCAUCUCGGGUAGCUGCCUCUGCAUACAGAGCAAGUCUUUCUGGGACAAAAGGACUUCCGCCAUAAGAGCGCCGCGUGCACGCACGUCUGUCGUACUUGCGUGGUAGGAGGGAAGUGCUCCUUUGGCCGUGCUAGGAGCGGAUGUGUCAAAGACUCAUCGGUUAAGUCUUUCACAAGCAGACGUCUACCAUGACCGACGGCGCGGCUCUAGGGAAGAACCAGCAGUCUGUGUUCAGGAUUCGCAUACAAAGGGGUGAACAACUCAACCCUGAAUUUCCCCACCCCCCUAAUCACAAUGUGAGAGUUGGAGAUGUCCAUUUAUUCACUCUAUAGCCUGUUGGAGCCAAUAUGAUGAUGAUUUGCUUUAUAGCGAGUCAGACUAAUAGCUCUGAAAUUGUUACGAGCCGUCAAAUGGAGAAUCUCCCAUGUAUCAAAUCCCUAAGAAUUUUGUAUUCACAUACCUGCUUCCUUUAAAAAAACAAAACCAAAGAAACAACCCCCCCCCAAACCUUUUAUAGCCGAACUUGAGAAGAAGGGAUUCAUUGAAUUAAGAAUUUAUUUUCAGUAUACUUUUAACUGUAUUGAGAUGCUGCUUUCAGUUGUGGAUCCGAACGUUCAUUUUGAGUUGAAGCGUUGGUCCCAAAUCUUAAUUUUUUUCUACUGACUGGGGGAAAUGGGCAAUAUAACUUUAUGCUAAGUUAAAUGUAACAAGCAGCUGAGGGAAGUAAUGGAGACAAUAGAAAGGCUGGAGAAAUUGGGAUCUACUUCAUAAAGAAUUGCAGCAUGCCGGCAGGAUGGAAAAACUCGGAGGCAUCCAUAGUCCAUGGAAAUAGGAAGUCCUUUUGAACUGAAAACCCUUUGGAAUUGAGCUGGUUUUCUGUCUGGAAAGAAGCUAUUAGCACUUUUUCUUCCAGUGCCAAGGUCCCCUUCUGGCACUUGGAACGGAGAGUUUCAGGAUUUUCUCUUUUCUUACCCCCCUCCCCCCC